GAAUUGCUAGUAAUGGCAGGUCAGCAUACUGCCGUGAAUACGUUCCCGGGCCUUGUACACACCGCCCGUCACACCAUGAGAGUUGGGAAUACCCGAAGCCUGUGAGCCAACAAACGAGGCAGCAGUCGAAGGUAGAAUCAAUGAUUGGGGUGAAGUCGUAACAAGGUAAC
rnacentral:rRNA from 1 species